GACGAACGCUGGCGGCGUGCUUAACACAUGCAAGUCGAACGGAGCGAAUGAAAGCUUGCUUUUAUAAGCUUAGUGGCAAACGGGUGAGUAACACGUAGACAACCUGCCGACAGGAUGGGGACAACAUUCCGAAAGGAAUGCUAAUACCGAAUGAAGUGCAGGGGAGGCAUCUCCCCUGCAUGAAAGAUGGCCUCUAUAUAUAAGCUAUCACCUGUCGAUGGGUCUGCGUCUGAUUAGCUGGUAGGUGAGGUAACGGCUCACCUAGGCGACGAUCAGUAGCCGGUCUGAGAGGAUGAACGGCCACAUUGGGACUGAGACACGGCCCAGACUCCUACGGGAGGCAGCAGUGGGGAAUCUUCCGCAAUGGGCGCAAGCCUGACGGAGCAACGCCGCGUGAGUGAAGAAGGUCUUCGGAUCGUAAAGCUCUGUUGAUGGGGACGAACGUGCCUAAUGCGAAUAGUAUUAGGUAAUG
rnacentral:rRNA from 1 species